rnacentral:lncRNA from 1 species
GCGUUUUCCGCGUGUCCCGAGCCCCGGCGGCCCCGCGAGCUCGGUCCGUGCGGGGAAAGCAGGGCUGACGCCGUCUGCGGAGAGGACUGCGCAGCCGGGCUUGUGUGGGGCCGCGCGUAACGGCAGCGGCUACUCCCUGCCCAGGCCGGCCAGCACAGGGCCAUGGCCGAGGCGGCUGCGCCUCCGGACUGGCAUUGCGGACUGACCUCCAGGGAGAGGCCCAGAUCUGAUCUGCAGAGAUCUCCCUUCCGGCUAUCGUGGCUGCUGUUCAGGUGGUGGAGAAGAAGAUGGAACCCCAGGCUGCCUGGCUACAGAGCCUGGAGGGAUGCAUGUGGACAGCCAAGAAGAAGCUGGCUGACUGCGAGAAGGUGGCUGUGGAGUUCGGGAACCAGCUGGAGGGCCCUGGUUAAUGGUGGAGCCAGCCUGGUGUGUGGCAGCCAGGUCGGGCUGGUGUCUUCAGAGUGGCUGUGUCAGAAGGGCCUCGUGUAUGACAGAAACGCAGGCCAGCUGGAACGUCCCCAGGCGUUCUGUCCUGGAUCAAGCAAGAGGAAGGGGCAAGUGGGAGGAGCCAGCAGGGCCCACAGGAGACCACUGUGGCACACCUGUGCUCAGGUAAGGCAUGCUGGGCCAUGUCUCCUCAGGCCUGUAUCCCUGGGCCUUAGGAGACAUGGCGUCCCCUGGGGGGCCUCACAGCGCCUCUAGUGGGGCCUUCUCCUGGGCGAGGCUCCUGAGGGAAGGCAGUGCGCAGCCUUGGCUGUGUCUCUGCAGAAUCUUGUAUGCUUGCUGCGUGGUGUCCUCCCAUGCAGUUGCACGAAAUCAUUCUUUUAUUCCUGAUCCUGUUUCCUGUUUAUUUCAUGAACUUGUCUGUAGGCAGCAUGGUGCUGGGCGCUGCAGGGGCUCAUUAAUGCAUGAGACACAGAUUCCACUCAGGAGAGAGAAGACG